rnacentral:lncRNA from 1 species
CUUGCUCCAGGUAGCAAGUAUGAAUUCCUCCAUGACAUCUGGGCUACAAGAAAUGCCAAGCUUGGCCACUGCUCACAGUACCCGGGACUCAUAAGAAUCCAUGCAUGCCUUCUCCCAUCUAAGACAUGCGGGAUCCAUGCCAGGAAGAAUGAGGCACAUGCCAGAGGAUAUGGGGGCUGGGAGGAGGGCACUAACCCAGAGUGAUUUGAAAUGAG